ACAAAGAUAGAGGCAAUUCUUUGGUAGAGACGAGAAUCCGUCUACCCCCAAUAUAGCCAUGUUUCGAUAUACAGUAGCAUAAGGAGCAGGGUAUUGACUUCCAGGAGUCCCCAGAUCCUUGAAGGCCUUGAAAAACAGCCAAAAGACACAAGGUGAAAUAAUGCAACCCAUUGCAGUGCCAAUUAGUUGGCUCACAAACAUGGACCGAGGUGAAGAAAGGGUCAAAUAACCAGUCUUGAAAUCUUGAGAUAGGUCAGAGGCUGUGGAGACAAUAUUCAUUAUCACUCCACAGGCCGCUAUAGUCCUGCAAGAACUCCACCAUGAGAGGCACCAGCCCAUGCCCCAAUUACAAAACUUGAGAGCUUCCCAUAGGUGGAAGCUAGGGACCAGUCAGUGAGGCCACAGCCAUAAGCAUUACAGAAUGCAAGGGCUGGGGCAAAGAUGUAGAUAACCGAUAUAUAAUACCAUUUGAGUUCGGGAAAUAUAUGCGGUAGCGCACUAGCGUGGCUGUAGAGAUAGCAGCGAUUGCGACAUAGCCUGCAACAGCAAACCAUGUUGGAAUUUGAUCUUUGAGAAAGAGUUGGGUGCGGCGUUGAUCAUUGUAUGAGAUCCUGGAGGGCUCGGGAGAGGAACGGUGCGCAAUAGGGAGGGCACCAGUUGCAUCUUUCCUUUGAAGUUGAAAAAACAAGACAGUGAGUGUUCGGCUUAGCACCUUGAAGAAGUUGUACAGACCGUCACCCAAGAUCAUGGCAAUGGCAAUAAAUACCUGAGUUCAUUGCAUAAGAGUUGUUAUGAAUGGAAAGGCUUCAAGAAUAGCACUCUUGUUACCUUAACCUUGUUAGAAAACUUAACUUGUAACCUUGGAGGCCAUGCAGGCUGCUAGGUUUGAGGUCUGCUGAAUACCAAUCACCCUUUUUUGUAUCUAUGAGAGGCCACAUCAGACCCCAGGAAAGAAUUCUUCCAUGGUAACUAUUUAUGUGUCCUCCUUCGCUGGUUUAGGUUACUUCCUAGCUAUUGCCAUGUUUUCUUUUCCCAAGCUUUUUGGCAUUUGUACCCUUUAAUUCUUCACCUUGCUUUCAUUUGCCAACGUUAUACUAUUAAUAAAGUUUCUUCACUUAUCUAAAAGAAAAAAAAAAGCUAGCUAAUUGUGUAUUUGCAAGUUUUUUUUAGAAGUCGACAUACUUGUUGGUUAUUAAUAUCUUGAUACAAAUAUUAAGAAUUGAAUCUUUAAACGUUUUGUAGAUACAAAUAUUAGGAAGUCGACAUACAUGUUGGUUAUUAAUAUCUUUGAUUUGCCAAUGAUAUCAUAGCCAGCAAAAUGAGCUAACCUGAUACCAAAUAUAGCAACUGAUCAUAACCUUACCAGUUUGAGUAAAAUCCAAAGAUAUUACGUACUGGUGCAAAAGUUGUGAUAACAUCAAACAGCAAAACAACAGCUGAGGAAUUGAAGGCAGGAAAGCAGCAACCCAGAAUAACAACAGCGGUCUUGGGUGUGAUUCUGGAAGGUCGUAUACGAAUAAGGAAGAAGAAACCAACAAAUAUAAUUGCAUUAUGUUCGAAAUCAACAUGCCUGCAACCUGUAAUGUUUGCACAUUCACUUUUGAUAUUAUGUUUAAAGUUCACAAAGGGUACUGUGAUUUUCCGUUUGCACAUUGUUUGAUGCAUCUGUUCCACUAUCUUCUUCAAACUAGACAAGAAAAAAACUACAAGCAUAUUUCCAAGGAUUGACUAACAUGCAUAAAUAAGUAAAUGGACAUUUGAUUUUCUUCUCCAGAAAUGAUUAUAGAGAAAAUAGUUGUUGCCUCCACAAAUAGCAGGUGAUUGAUUAUAUAUCCACAGCAUUUUUGAGUCGAGCUUCACAUGUAAACUUCAUAACCUUAGUCUGGGAAGCAAUUCAGCUCUAACUCACAGAUUCUAUUGAAGUUCAUCUGAACUUCAAAUUUAUGACCCUAAGAACGCAUCGACCUUAGCAUUUGUUCUCCUUGACAAAAACUUCAUGCAAAUGGGAGGUUUUACUCCAGCUAGAGCAAGUAUCGAACUAGGCAAAGUCCAUAUCCCAUCCCCACAAAUCAAACCAGAAGCCACUGCUGGCCCAAAAGCAUCUGCCUUUGCUUUGUCAAUAUUUCCCCAGAUAAAUAGAAUCAAGCUUCCCACACACAUGUCGAUGGCAAAGUAUGUGCCAAUAUAGAAAGGUAUAGCCAUGGCCAUUGGAUUGGGAAUGAACCUAGCCCGUUUCUUACCCAACACAUCCUUGAUCAAAUUUAUCAGAAUAGCUGCAGCGAAGAACCAAUAACAAAGAUAGAGACAAUUCUUUGGUAGAGAUGAGAAUCCUUCUACCCCCAAUAUAGCCAUGUUUCGAAAUACAGUAGCAUAAGGAGCAGGGUAUUGACUUCCAGGAGUCCCCAGAUCCUUGAAGGCCUUAAAAAAAAGCCAAAAUACACACGGGGAAAUCAUGCAACCCAUUGCAGUGCCAAUUAGUUGGCUCACAAACAUUGACCGUGGUGAAGAAAGGGUCAAAUAACCAGUCUUGAAAUCUUGAGAUAGGUCAGAGGCUGUGGAGACAAUAUUCAUCAUGACUCCACAGGCCGCUAGUCCUGCAAGAACUCCACCAUGAGAGGCACCAGCCCAUGCCCCAAUUACAAAAAUUGCAAGCGUCCCAUAGGUAGAAGCAAGGGACCAAUCAGUGAGUCCACAACCAUAAGCAUUACAGAAUGCAAGGGCUGGAGCAAAGAUGUAGAUAACCAAUAUGUAAUACCAUUUUAGUUCAGGAAAUAUAUGCGGAACGGUGGUUGUAGAAAUGGAAGCAAUUGUGACAUAACCUGCAACAGCAAACCAUGUUGGAAUUUGAUCUUUGAGAAAGAGGUGGGUGCGACGUUGCUCAUCAUAGGAGAUCCUGGAUGUCUCGGGAGAGGAACGGUCAGCAACAGGCAGAGCACCAGUUGCAUCUCUCCCACGAAGUUGAAAAAACAAUGCAGCGAGUGUUCGGCUUAGAACCUUGAAGAAGUUGUACAGACCGUCACCCAAGAUCAAGGCAGUGGCAAUAAAUACCUGUGUUCAAUGCAUAAGCGUUGGUAUGAAAGAAAAGGCUUCAAGAAAAUGUUAAAAAUCAUGUAAUGGGCAUUCUUGUCACCUUAACCUUGUUAGAAAACUUACCUUGUAACCUUGGAGGCCAUGUAAGCUGCCUGGUUUGAGGUCUGCUGGAUACCAGUCACCCUUUUUUGUAUCUAUGAGAGGCCACAUCAGACCCCAGGAAAGAAUUCCUCCAAGCAAUACUGAUAUGUUUAUGAUAUAUGGGCAAAUCAUUCCAACUCCAACAUAUGUUGCUGAGAAAUCAAAGAAAAAUCUGUACAUGUAACAAGAACAUUAUUAGUCAAAGAUACCCCAACGAAUUUGAAACAGAAUGCCAUAACAAAUGGAACUACAUUCAACAAGAAGAGAGGAUUUUGGAAGAUUGAGUAAUGUUUUUACUUGUUUUCAUGUGCUUUAAGACCAAGUGAGGGGAACUCAGCGAAUCCACAACCAUCUCCUGCAGUGUAGAACCAUUGAAAGAAACCCCACAAGAAGCUGAAUGAGAAGAACUUGCCCAACACUCUCACUUGUUUCCUGUAACAGUAGAAUAACAAAGUUCGAUACCCUUACAUGUCAAAUGAUCAUCCAUAUAAAUGCAUGAGGUCUGAUAAUGCCUUACUUUGCUAGCUUGGCUCCUGCAGGAGUGUGGAAGCUGUUGAUGAGAUGCGCAGUUGCAGUGCCACUUGGAUAUGUCAAUUUGAAGUCUAUAAUCAUGACCUGGAAAUAACCAGGGUAAGAAUGAGGAUUAGAUUUUGGCAAAAUCAAUACACUAGGCAAAAAUGUAAAAUGCAGAGAAAAGUUUUAUAUUUCCUAUAAUCAUAUAAAGAAAUUGAAUGCUGAUGCAGGUUGUAAAGUCUACCUUUCGAAGAGGCACCACCGAAAAGAGUCCAAGAAAGCUAACAACAAACAAAAAGCCAAUCAUCCAAGACAGAGAUGGAUUUUUAAAGGCAUCACUAUCUUCAGUUAAUUGUUUGGCCACGGUUUCACUCAUUCCAAACAGAUAACUCCCAAAGCCUCCUAUUAUAAGGAAACAAGGAAAAAAUUAUAGAAUGGAAACCAUUAGUACAAAAAUCAACAAGUUUAAUAGUAUCAUAAGCAUAAUCACAAAUUAGCCGUUUCAUUACAAUAAUUAAUUCAGUUUCGAAACAAGUUUGGCAAGUAUUCAGGCUUUUCUUGACUAUUUGGAUAAGUUAGAAAUAUAAUGUAUUCAUCUUGACAUUAUGUUAAUGAUUCACAGUUAAAGAAAAGGUUUGAUUAAUAACUCAAGCUCACAACUAGCAUUCUAGAAACAGAUAUUAUUCACAUUUUCCUUUCUUUUACUGAUGGAGAAGACUUCUUUUUCCACAAAUCAGAAUAUUGUUAUAAGACUUCCUGAUAUAAAUCUGAACUUAGCAAGUCAUCCAUAUCCAGAGCAUAUGAAUUGAAUUGUCAAAAAAGUAUCUGUCAAGUGACAUACCAGCUGCACCCCUAACAUUAUCACACUCCAGGAGACAGAGAUAGAUGUGUUCAUGUCUCUAAUGGUAAGUUCAAGUGUUGAUUAGUUUAGUAAAACUUCACAAGUGGUAGUCAUAAAGCCUCAAUUUUGAUUUGUCUCUCAAAGACUUUAGGCAGUAAGAGAUUCUUUGUCUUCAAGGAUCAUGCAAAUCUACUCACAUCUGAGAUAAAAGGGAUCCAGAGAGAGAAAAAUGGUUGCCUUAUCAUGUAAUCUAGCAAUUAGAAGAUGGAAAUCUUGACAUUGAAUUUUAGUAACUACUGUAAGUUUGCAACCUUUAAGAACAGAAACAAAACCAAAUGCACAGAAAUAUUAAUAUCUUGAUCAAAGAAACCUAGAUAUCUCCUAAAAUUCGAAAGAAAAGAGAAAGAAAAUUGAAUUUCAAAAUAAUUAAGAGAGAUGAAAUGAAAAUUAAUGGAAGUAAACAGUACAGAAAGUAUACCACUAAAGGCAAUGCCAGAGGAGGCAACCACGCAAGUCUGUAUUACAGUGUUCUCUUGCCUCGUAAAGGGUUGCUUGAAAAGUCCAGACUUUUCAAGAAACUUUGUCCAGGUCUUGAUAAAAAAGAAGCCCAGAAGGCCAGCAGAGACAUUGAGGGAAGGUAUGAUACCAGUUGUAAGAUUGAGCUUCAUUACUAUGACGCAGAACAAAAUGCUCAACACGAAGCUCACCACAAGGGCCCUCAGUGUCAGCUGAUUCCUCCAUGAUGGCACAUCUUGGUUCUCAAAUAUUCUUUCCACUGACAACUCUUCUUCUUGUUCCUCUUUCUUGUCCUUCUUUCUGUGAUCAUGAUCAUCCUCCAAAUCAUGAUCAUUCUCUACCUUGGCGUCGUCUCUUUCAUUACGUUCCAUUUUAUUUUCUUAAAAGAAUGAUUCUUUAUGGAGACGAAGAGAGUUGGGAGUGUGUUUAAUAAGUGGUUGUGAUUAUUGCUCAACGCAUCACAAGCGAAUUGAAGACGAUGAAUAUGAGGAGUUAAAAGUUAAAACGGGUUGUUGUAGUGAGUUUAACCUGUCUGUUUUUUUAGGUUAUUUUUUUUAAUUUUAAAUUAAUUUUUUUUUAAUUUUUUGAAUUAUUUUAAUAUAUUAAUAUUAAAAAUAAAUUUUAAAAUAUAAAAAAUAUAUUAUUUUAAUAUUUUUUAUCGAAAAUUAUUUUAAAAAAUAAUUAUUAUUAUAUUUUUAAACACUCUUUAAAAUAACAAAAUGACUCUAAAUGAAAUGUGUUUUAGUUAAGUUUGUAAUUUUUAUAUAUGUAAUCUGUAGGUACUUUUAAAGAAUUAGACUAGAAAUAUAAUAGAAAUUAUUUUUAAAAUAAUCUAAAAAUAUGUUUUUAAUAUUUUUUUGAAUUAAAAUUAAUAAUUAUUUUCAAAACAAUUUGAAAAUAAAAAAAAUUAAUUUUAAAAAGGAAUGUUUUAAGCAAGUUACCAAAUGGCCACUGAAUCCAAUGCCAAAAGCUUCUAUUUCUAAUUUGUGGAAGACGAGAAGUCAAUAGUCAAUUUCCAAAAAAUUAAAAAAAAAAUAAAGGGAAAAUAAAAGAUCUGUGAAUGUCCAUUGUCCAAAGUUUGUGGGAAAAAAAUGAUAUAAGAAAUAAAGAAAAUGAUAUUAAAUUACUUAAAGAAGCUAGACUAGAAUAUAGUUGAAUUUAAAACAAUUUAAAAACACUAUUUUAAUAGUUUUUAAAUUAAAAAUAAUUUAAAAAAUAAUUAUUACUAAACUCCCAAAAACCUUUAAAACAACAAAGUAACCUUUCACAUGUGUUUGAGUUAAUUAAUUUUAAAUAAAAUAAAACAAACUUUUAAAAAGGAAUGUUUUAAGCAAGUUACCAAAUUGCCACUGAAUCCAAUGCCAAAAGCUUCUCUUUCUAAUGUAGAAGGCGAGAAGUCAAUAGUCAAUUUCCAAAAAAUUAAAACAAAAUAAAAGGAAAAUAAAAAAUCUAUGUAGGUCUAUUGUCCAAAGAUUGUGGGAAAAUAAAAAAUCUAUGUAACGUGCGUGGAAGAUUUAAAGAAUGUCCAAUUAAUUAUUGUAUAAACGUUGGUUUUUUCCUUCUCAACGUAAUUAAUUAGAGAUGAUUUUUCUAAUUACUUGUUUACUAAAUUCAUAGCACAAAUCAUGCAAUCUUGCAGAGAAAUUUGUUAAGUAAAAAUAAGAUAAGCAAAUAAAAAAAAUACGAGUUUACAAUAAAUAAUAUAACGUUAUUUAAUUUAAACUUAUCUCUAAAAAAACAAUGCAGGACCUUACAAAGCAUGAGAUUGAAGAUGAGUUAUAAACAAAUCAUAACCACAGCAAGAUGGAGAGUUGAGGGAUUCUAUGAUAAUUAACUUUGAAUAUAUUUGCAUGGGGAAGAACGUAUGAUCCAAAUGAUAACCUCUUUAUGUAGUUCGCUCCCUCUGGGCUUAGAUGCCAUUAAGACUACGGAAAUGCUUUGUCUAUUUUUCAGCUUCUUUUCAUGUUCUUAGGACAAACCUUCAACAUAUUUGUUACAAGUCUCAUAUUCGCUGAAGCUUUUAUCGUCUUCCUCGACGCAUCUGAUAUUUUUUCCAUCUUUUUUCUUUUCUCGUGUUGGAUAACUAAGUCUGGCAUGGUUUUAUUGUGAGACUGAUAAUAACUAGAAGGCCAUUCCAAUGCCACAUUGGACCACCUGAUAUGAUCAUAGCUAGCAAAAUGAGCAAACCUGAUACCAAAUAUAGCAACUGAUCAUAAGAGCUCACAAAGGGUACUGUCAUUUUCACUUUUCACAUUGCUUGAUGCAUCUGUUCUACUAUCUUCUUCAAACUAGACAAGAAAAAAACUACAAGCACAUAUAAGUAAGGGGACAUUUGAUUUUCUUCUCCAGAAAUGAUUACAGAGAAAAUAGUUGUAGCCUUGUUGGCUCCACGGAAUAGCAGGUGAUUAUCCACAGCAUUUUUGAGUCGAACUUCACAUGUAAACUUCAUAACCUUAGUGUAGGAAGCAAUUCAGCUUUACUUCACAGUUUCUAUUCAAGUUGAUCUGAACUUCAACUUUAUGACCCUAAGAACGCAUCGACCUUGGCAUUUGUUCCCCUUGACAAAAACUUCAUGCAAAUGGGAGGUUUUACUCCUACUAGAGCAAGUAUCGCACUAGGCAAAGUCCAUAUCCCAUCCCCGCAAAUCAAACCAGAAGCCACUGCUGGCCCAAAAGCAUCUGCCUUUGCCUUGUCAAUCUUUUCCCAGAUAAAUAGAAUCAAGCUUCCCACACACAUGUCGAUGGCAAAGUAUGGGCCAAUAUAGAACGGUAUAGCCAUCGCCAUUGGAUUGGGAAUGAACCUGGCCCAUUUCUUACCCAAAGCAUCCUUAAUUAAAUUUAUCAGAAUAGCUGCACCGAAGAACCCAUAACAAAGAUAGAGGCAAUUCUUUGGUAGAGACGAGAAUCCGUCUACCCCCAAUAUAGCCAUGUUUCGAUAUACAGUAGCAUAAGGAGCAGGGUAUUGACUUCCAGGAGUCCCCAGAUCCUUGAAGGCCUUGAAAAACAGCCAAAAGACACAAGGUGAAAUAAUGCAACCCAUUGCAGUGCCAAUUAGUUGGCUCACAAACAUGGACCGAGGUGAAGAAAGGGUCAAAUAACCAGUCUUGAAAUCUUGAGAUAGGUCAGAGGCUGUGGAGACAAUAUUCAUCAUGACUCCACAGGCCGCUAGUCCUGCAAGAACUCCACCAUGAGAGGCACCAGCCCAUGCCCCAAUUACAAAAAUUGCAAGCUUCCCAUAGGUGGAAGCUAGGGACCAGUCAGUGAGGCCACAGCCAUAAGCAUUACAGAAUGCAAGGGCUGGGGCAAAGAUGUAGAUAACCAAUAUGUAAUACCAUUUGAGUUCGGGAAAUAUAUGCGGUAGCGUGGCUGUAGAGAUAGCAGCAAUUGCGACAUAGCCUGCAACAGCAAACCAUGUUGGAAUUUGAUCUUUGAGAAAGAGUUGGGUGCGGCGUUGAUCAUUGUAUGAGAUCCUGGAG
rnacentral:lncRNA from 1 species